CCUCCUCCUCCAGUGCUGUUCGCCUCCUGCAGCCGCGUCCUUCACCGCAGCCCUUCACCGCUGCGUCGCGUCGCCGGAGCCACAGGAAGCCUCCGCGGGUCGCCGGGAGCCCGCCCCCGCCGCGGGUCGUUGGGAGCCUCCCCAGCAGCGGGAGCCCGCCCCCGCCGUGGGUCACCGCCUCCCCAGCCGCGGGAGCCCGCCCCCGCCGCGGGUCGCCGCCUCCCCAGCCGCGGGAACCCGCCCCCGCCGCGGGUCGCUGCCUCCCCAGCGGGAUGCUCCUGUACUCCUGAUUCUCCAAUCUACAUUGGCUUAAUACAACAUAGGAAUUCAGGAGAAGGUCAAAAGAGAUUGGUACCAGGCUUUGUGCCACUGCCCACUUUCCCUGAUUGCUAAAUUUAUUUUAUGCUUCUGUCGACAUUACAACAGCCAACAAAUCAGGGAACCAAUCCAGCUUCAAGCUCCAGGUGCUUUUCUUUCAGGAUCAUGCGUAAUUAAUAAAUUGUUUCCUAUUAUCCUUAAUAGGAUGCUAUUUUAUGCUGAUCAAAGUUAGUACUAACACAUAACUUUGGUAGUCCGCAGAACCAAAAUCCUUUGACCUGAUCUCUUUGCAGGUGAAAAUUUAUAUUUUACUACGCAGAUGUAGAGUUGGCUUUUGUAUAAGGAAAUAAGAUUCAAGAAAUAAGCAACUUAAACACAGCAAUUGAAGAUUUCCAAGUCAGAUUUACCAACUUCAAUAGAGAAUUGGCUUUUGUAGAAGGAAAUAUGAUUCGAGAGGGAUCAGACGGGAGAAAUAGAGAAGGACAAACGAUUUCUACAGGAGGAGCAGUAGUCCUUGCAUGUAGACACCCUCCUGUUCUCCCAGGUAACACCAUGGAAUCCCAUCGUCUAAUUUUGGUCGCUCUUGUGAGUCUUUAUUCCAAUCAUAUCCGGCAACCAUGUCAUGGAUUCAGGGUAGUGUGUGGGAUUUCCAGUAGAAGAGUAGCUACUCACAAGCUUGAUGCCGCAAAGGCAUCUUCCUACUCUUCUGAGAACUUCCACCAAUAAGCUCCACGCGCUCCUGCACCUUCUUAUGAGUCAGGUUAAAAAUAUGUGGUUUCGUGCUUUUACUACAUCUUUGGUGCAGCUUUCGUGCUUUUGCCUUUACUACAUCCAUGUUUGUGCUUUUCCCUUUACUACAUCCUUUUAAAAAUAUGUGGUUUCGUGCUUUUACUACAUCCAUGUUCAGUGUGUUAUGCAGAUGUAAAAAGCCAUUCAGGUUCUGCAUCCUGCCUAGAAGGUUCUUUGUUAUGAUGCAAGAGGAAUUCCUUUCUUAUUGACCCUUCAAGUGGGAGUCUUUUAGAGGCAGCUUUCAUGCUUUUGCCUUCUACUGGAACUCCAUGCAGAUUCUGAGUUCAAGGGGUGUAUUUGGCCUUCAGAAAUAAAGAACUUUAUUAUGGUUCUUGAUAAAAGAAAUAUGGACUUCCAAAUAGCUUAAAGGUUAUCGAUUAUAUGCA